rnacentral:rRNA from 1 species
UUUUGGGGCAAUGGGGGCAAGCCUGAUCCAGCCAUUCCGCGUGAGUGAAGAAGGCUUUUGGGGUUGUAAAGCUUUUUCCCAAGGGAAGACCCGUUACGGGGGAAUAACCCGGUGAUAAUGACGGUACCUUGAUAAGAAGCACCGGCUAACUACGUGCCAGCAGCCGCGGUAAUACGUAGGGUGCGAGCGUUAAUCGGAAUUACUGGGCGUAAAGCGUGCGCAGGCGGUUUUGUAAGUCAGAUGUGAAAUCCCCGAGCUCAACUUGGGAAGUGGGUUUGAAACUACAAGACUAGAGUAGGUCAGAGGGGGUAGAAUUCCACGCGUAGCAGUGAAAUGCGUAGAGAUGUGGAGGAAUACCAAUGGCGAAGGCAGCCCCCGGGAUCAUACUACGCUCAGCACGAAA